rnacentral:rRNA from 1 species
CCUACGGGGGGCUGCAGUGGGGAAUAUUGGACAAUGGGCGAAAGCCUGAUCCAGCCAUGCCGCGUGUGUGAAGAAGGCCUUCGGGUUGUAAAGCACUUUCAGUGGGGAAGAAAGCCUUGGGGCUAAUACCCUCGAGGAAGGACAUCACCCACAGAAGAAGCACCGGCUAACUCCGCGCCAGCAGCCGCGGUAAUACGGAGGGUGCGAGCGUUAAUCGGAAUUACUGGGCGUAAAGCGCGCGUAGGCGGUCUGAUAAGCCGGUUGUGAAAGCCCCGGGCUCAACCUGGGAACGGCAUCCGGAACUGUCAGGCUAGAGUGCAGGAGAGGAAGGUAGAAUUCCCGGUGUAGCGGUGAAAUGCGUAGAGAUCGGGAGGAAUACCAGUGGCGAAGGCGGCCUUCUGGACUGACACUGACGCUGAGGUGCGAAAGCGUGGGUAGCAAACAGGAUUAGAUACCCCAGUAGUC